rnacentral:rRNA from 1 species
UGGGGAAUCUUGGACAAUGGGCGCAAGCCUGAUCCAGCCAUGCCGCGUGAGUGAAGAAGGCCUUCGGGUUGUAAAGCUCUUUUACCAGGGACGAUAAUGACGGUACCUGGAGAAUAAGCCCCGGCAAACUUCGUGCCAGCAGCCGCGGUAAUACGAAGGGGGCUAGCGUUGUUCGGAAUUACUGGGCGUAAAGCGCACGUAGGCGGAUUGUUAAGUCAGAGGUGAAAUCCCGGAGCUCAACUUCGGAACUGCCUUUGAUACUGGCAAUCUAGAGUCCGGAAGAGGUUAGUGGAAUUCCCAGUGUAGAGGUGAAAUUCGUAGAUAUUGGGAAGAACACCAGUGGCGAAGGCGGCUAACUGGUCCGGUACUGACGCUGAGGCGCGAAAGCCAGGGGAGCAAACGGGAUUAGAUACCCUUGUAGUCCCUGAGCGGGCUGGCAAGGCGCAU